AACGCUAGCUACAGGCUUAACACAUGCAAGUCGAGGGGAAACGACAUCGAAAGCUUGCUUUUGAUGGGCGUCGACCGGCGCACGGGUGAGUAACGCGUAUCCAACCUGCCCACCACUUGGGGAUAACCUUGCGAAAGUAAGACUAAUACCCAAUGAUAUCUCUAGAAGACAUCUGAAAGAGAUUAAAGAUUUAUCGGUGAUGGAUGGGGAUGCGUCUGAUUAGCUUGUUGGCGGGGUAACGGCCCACCAAGGCGACGAUCAGUAGGGGUUCUGAGAGGAAGGUCCCCCACAUUGGAACUGAGACACGGUCCAAACUCCUACGGGAGGCAGCAGUGAGGAAUAUUGGUCAAUGGGCGAGAGCCUGAACCAGCCAAGUAGCGUGCAGGAUGACGGCCCUAUGGGUUGUAAACUGCUUUUAUAAGGGAAUAAAGUGAGUCUCGUGAGACUUUUUGCAUGUACCUUAUGAAUAAGGACCGGCUAAUUCCGUGCCAGCAGCCGCGGUAAUACGGAAGGUCCGGGCGUUAUCCGGAUUUAUUGGGUUUAAAGGGAGCGUAGGCCGGAGAUUAAGCGUGUUGUGAAAUGUAGACGCUCAACGUCUGCACUGCAGCGCGAACUGGUUUCCUUGAGUACGCACAAAGUGGGCGGAAUUCGUGGUGUAGCGGUGAAAUGCUUAGGUAUCACGAAGAACUCCGAUUG
rnacentral:rRNA from 1 species